AUUGAACGCUGGCGGCAGGCCUAACACAUGCAAGUCGAGCGAGCGGCGGACGGGUGAGUAAUGUUUGGGAAACUGCCUGAUGGAGGGGGAUAACUACUGGAAACGGUAUCUAAUACCGCAUACCAUCAGAUGUGCCCAGAUGGGAUUAGCUGGUAGGUGGGGGAACGGCUCACCUCGGCGACUAGCCCUAGCUGGUCUGUGAGGAUGACCUGCCACACUCGAACUAAGACACGGUCCAGACGCCUACGGGAGGGAGCAGUGGGGAAUAUUGGACAAUGGGCGCAAGCCUGAUGAAGCCAUGCCGCGUGUGUGAAGAAGGCCUUCGGGUUGAAAGCACUUUCAGCGGGGAGGCGUUACCCGCAGAAGAAGCACCGGCUAACUCCGUGCCAGCAGCCGCGGUAAUUC
rnacentral:rRNA from 1 species